AGAGUUUGAUCCUGGCUCAGGAUGAACGCUGGCGGUAUGCCUAACACAUGCAAGUCGAACGAUGUCUUCGGACAUAGUGGCGGACGGGUGAGUAACGCGUGAGAAUCUGCCUCUAGGAUGGGGAUAACGGUUGGAAACGACCGCUAACACCCAAUAUGCCGUAAGGUGAAAAAUUUAUUGCCUGGAGAGGAGCUCGCGUCUGAUUAGCUAGUUGGUGGGGUAAGAGCUCACCAAGGCUUCGAUCAGUAGCUGGUCUGAGAGGAUGAGCAGCCACACUGGGACUGAGACACGGCCCAGACUCCUACGGGAGGCAGCAGUGGGGAAUUUUCCGCAAUGGGCGAAAGCCUGACGGAGCAAUACCGCGUGAGGGAGGAAUGCCUUUGGGUUGUAAACCUCUUUUCUCAGGGAAGAAGAUCUGACGGUACCUGAGGAAUAAGUAUCGGCUAACUCCGUGCCAGCAGCCGCGGUAAUACGGAGGAUGCAAGCGUUAUCCGGAAUCAUUGGGCGUAAAGCGUCCGCAGGUGGUUUCCAAAGUCUGCUGUUAAAGACUGGAGCUCAACUCCGGAACGGCGGUGGAAACUUGGAAACUAGAGUUCGGUAGGGGUAGCAGGAAUUCCCAGUGUAGCGGUGAAAUGCGUAGAUAUUGGGAAGAACAUCGGUGGCGAAGGCGUGCUACUGGACCGUAACUGACACUCAGGGACGAAAGCUAGGGGAGCGAAAGGGAUUAGAUACCCCUGUAGUCCUAGCCGUAAACGAUGGAAACUAGGUGUGGCUUGUAUCGACCCGAGCCGUGCCGUAGCUAACGCGUUAAGUUUCCCGCCUGGGGAGUACGCACGCAAGUGUGAAA
rnacentral:rRNA from 1 species